rnacentral:rRNA from 1 species
GAUGAACGCUAGCGGCAGGCCUAACACAUGCAAGUCGAGGGGCAGCACGUCUUCGGAUGGUGGCGACCGGCGCACGGGUGCGUAACGCGUAUGCAACCUACCUCUUACAGUGGGAUAGCCCAGAGAAAUUUGGAUUAAUACCGCAUAGUAUACAGAUUCAGCAUUGGGACUGUAUUAAACAUUUAUGGGUAAGAGAUGGGCAUGCGUUCUAUUAGUUAGUUGGAGUGGUAACGGCACCCCAAGACAGCGAUAGAUAGGGCCCGUGAGAGGGGAGUCCCCACACUGGUACGUGAGACACGGACCAGACGUCCUACGGAGGCAGCAGUGAGGAAUAUUGGACAAUGGGCGAGAGCCUGAUCCAGCCAUGCCGCGUGCAGGAAGACGGCCCUAUGGGUUGU